rnacentral:rRNA from 1 species
ACUAUGCCCAGCCAUAAACCUUGAUACUUUCAUACAAUUAGUAUCCGCCAGGGAACUACGAGCACCAGCUUAAAACCCAAAGGACUUGGCGGUGCCUCAGAUCCCCCUAGAGGAGCCUGUUCUAGAACCGAUAACCCCCGUUAAACCUCACCACUUCUUGCCUAUUCCGCCUAUAUACCACCGUCGCCAGCUUACCCUGUGAAGGGAAAAAAGUAAGCAAAAUGGAAACUUUCCAAAACGUCAGGUCGAGGUGUAGCACACGAAGUGGGAAGAAAUGGGCUACAUUACCUGACACAGGAUAUUCACGGAAAGUCACCUGAAACGGUAAUUCAAAGGUGGAUUUAGCAGUAAAAGAGGAAUAGAGUGCCCCUUUGAAGCCGGCUCUGAGCGCGCAC